ensembl:lncRNA
UACCCCUCUAAGACCGAAAUCACUGCAAUGGCUAAAAAAGUUGUGGAAUAUUAUCCUAUGCUGCAGGAUAAUGAUGCAAGCGUAAAACACGAGAGCAUUAAUGCCAAGUUACAAAAAAGGCUGCAAAAUAUGAAAACCCCAGUAAAAAGGCAAGGACCAACACCGGAGAGGGGACGGCCCAAGAGAAGGCUCACUGACCUCUACCCAAGGGAUGAAGAAGCUGAUGAUGAAGAUGCUGAUCGCAGUUCUUCCAGUGGUGCAUCUACUCUGUUAUCACCUGUCAGAAAUUCUGACAAUGCCUCCACUUCAUCUGACAAGGAUAGUCGGCAAAUACAAGCAAGACAUUACAAAACAUUACAAGAAAUGUGUAAGAAGGCAAAACCAAACCAAGAAGAUGUGUCCCAGCUAUUAGACCUCGAGUUUGAAGCCAGAAGAUCCUUCAUUGACUCAGACACCAUGAAAGAGGAGAACAGAGCUUGCCUCAUCUUGGAUGCAUAUCCAUGCUUUAAAGAAUUGCAUCAUGCGUUGGGUGAGCUUCGCAGAAUUUUGGAUCCCCACAACAACAAGUUCAUCAGUCAAGUAAAACUGAGAUGGGAAGAAUUCUGCUCCAGGGUAGAGUUCUACGGUGUGUCAAAGAAGGCAAUGAAUCCACCAAUGACCAUGGACAAAACUGAAGCCCACCUUGCACUGAUGAAGGCUCUUCCAACCCUCUUUCCCACACCUGCCCAUCCACCAAAAAAGAUGGGGAAUGCUUCUGAAGCAUUUCUACAUGUCCUGAAGCCUACAGAAGAUCCAGAUGCUGUCCUCCAGAAACGAAGCUUGUCAUGUCCAGUAGUGAUGUUCGAUGGCUGCAAGUGUGUCAUUGCUGUUGGUAAUUUACCAGUUACAACAUUUGACAAAGAAAAAAUUGACAGAAGUUCUCCAGGAUGCCAUUCAUGAGCAUGACACUACAUCAUCUUACAGAAAAGCCCUGGCAGAAUGGCAUGCAUUUAUUGGAAAGUAGUGUGUAAAUUUCAGAUAAGAUUAGGAGAGGGCACUUCUGUUUUGUUUUUGUUUGUUUUUUCAAUCUGGGUCUUAUUUCUAAAAUGGAAAAUGUUCAUUUACUCACCCAGACAAGUUUUGUGGUAUUUGGUGUCAUUCGGAAGAAAUUUGAAUCUUUGUGGUCUUCCUAUGUCACUCGUCAAUUUUAAUGGGGCAAUGGCGAAACCUC